GCCGGCGUCCAAUACUGCCCAUUACUUAUCAUUCUAUACUUUACAAUGCUGAAUUACCUACCAUCAAGUAAGAAGCGACAUCGGGGGACGAAGGACGAACGCCUAUAGCCUUGCUCUCUUGACCUCUUGCUUGAUGCCAUUGUUCGCUUGUUUGAUUUUUACCGAUGCUCGUUCGUGCAAACGGAAUCCAGCAUGGGACGGCGAUGCCUCGCGUGUGUUCUCGCACUACAUGAUAUUCCAGCACGCAGGUGACAUCGGAGCAACUGAUCGACGGUGCCACCGCGUUCGACCACACAUGUCCGGUGUAAAGCUCCCAUUCCUAGGCCCUUCUUGCUCCUCUGGCUCGAACUUCAGACGUGUCGUGCAAGCCAUUCGAAACUACAAAGAGGUAGCGUAGUACGUGAUUAUCCAUGGACAAUUCCAUAUGCCUUCUAAGCCUAUUAUAAAUUUGAAAUGAUUAUUGUAUAGAGACACGACACAUAAUGCACCAAAUGGCAUUAGAUAUUCUAAAUCAGACAAUGAAAAUGACAAACAAGGUGGUAUUUAUCUUUUACUCGUGUGCUCCUUAUAAAGGGAACGGGUGGUAGGAGCCAAUAUGAAUUAUUUUGUCCUUUGUUUAGUCAAUUUCUCGCAAUCUCUUAGUCCUCAGGUAGGUCGGCGACUGUGAGAACUUUAUACUUCCUUUGCACCAAUAUAUCAUCUCGGUCGAUGCAAAAACUUCUAAAAUUCAUGAAAGACAAACGUAUUUUUUGGUAUCAUGUUUGAACAUGGUUGAAGCACGUAUCUCCAAUGAAAGAUUUACUCACAAGGCACAUAAUCAAACAAGGCCUCACUAUAACAACAUGGGCAUCAUCUCCC
rnacentral:lncRNA from 1 species